CGGACGGGUGAGUAACGCGUGGGUAACCUGCCUCAUACAGGGGGAUAACAGUUAGAAAUGACUGCUAAUACCGCAUAAGCGCACAGGACCGCAUGGUCCGGUGUGAAAAACUCCGGUGGUAUGGGAUGGAUCCGCGUCUGAUUAGCUGGUUGGUGAGGUAACGGCCCACCAAGGCGACGAUCAGUAGCCGACCUGAGAGGGUGGCCGGCCACAUUGGGACUGAGACACGGCCCAAACUCCUACGGGAGGCAGCAG
rnacentral:rRNA from 1 species